rnacentral:rRNA from 1 species
GACGAACGCUGGCGGCGUGCCUAAUACAUGCAAGUAGAACGCACAGUUUAUACCGUAGCUUGCUACACCAUAGACUGUGAGUUGCGAACGGGUGAGUAACGCGUAGGUAACCUGCCUGGUAGCGGGGGAUAACUAUUGGAAACGAUAGCUAAUACCGCAUAAUAUUAAUUAUUGCAUGAUAAUUAAUUGAAAGGUGCAAUUGCACCACUACCAGAUGGACCUGCGUUGUAUUAGCUAGUAGGUGAGGUAACGGCUCACCUAGGCGACGAUACAUAGCCGACCUGAGAGGGUGAUCGGCCACACUGGGACGGAGACACGGCCCAGACUCCUACGGGAGGCAGCAGUAGGGAAUCUUCGGCAAUGGACGAAAGUCUGAACGAGCAACGCCGCGUGAGUGAAGAAUGUUGUCGGAUCGUAAAGCUCUGUUGUAAGAGAAGAACGGGUGUGAGAGUGGAAAGUUCACACUGUGACGGUAGCUGACCAGAAAGGGACGGCUAACUACGUG